ACGAGAGUCGUUAGGUAAAGCAAAAGAAACCAGAAAUACAACAAUUGCUACUCUGGUUUCCAAACAUACUUGUUUUGUUCCAUUUCUGUUUGUUUUGGCCACUGUGCCUUUUUGUUUUGUAUAAGUGUUUUGUUUGGCUUGUUUAAAUCUUUUAUUUUGUUCUGUCUUGUCCCUGGUCUGACAUCAUCCACAAGCCAUCUUGACACACCUACUUUUAAAGAUCAGAAGACAACAUCUUAAGUUUGUAUUUGUGUUGUGCACUUGAGGGCCACCCUAAUUACGACCUCGUCUGAGCCUCACAAUCUUUUUGGUGCAGGAAGGAAAAUGGGCUCACCCAAGUAAAGUGAAAAUAAAGCAAAAAAAAAAAAA